rnacentral:rRNA from 1 species
UACGAAGGGGGCUAGCGUUGCUCGGAAUCACUGGGCGUAAAGCGCACGUAGGCGGAUUGUUAAGUCAGGGGUGAAAUCCUGGAGCUCAACUCCAGAACUGCCUUUGAUACUGACGGUCUUGAGUUCGGGAGAGGUGAGUGGAACUGCGGGUGUAGAGGUGAAAUUCGUAGAUAUUCGCAAGAACACCAGUGGCGAAGGCGGCUCACUGGCCCGAUACUGACGCUGAGGUGCGAAAGCGUGGGGAGCAAACAGG